rnacentral:rRNA from 1 species
CCCAUCCCGAACCCGGAAGUUAAGCCCUUCAGCGCCGAUGGUACUGCACGGGAGACUGUGUGGGAGAGUAGGACACCGCCGGAC